rnacentral:rRNA from 1 species
CCUACGGGAGGCAGCAGUGGGGAAUCUUGCGCAAUGGGCGAAAGCCUGACGCAGCCAUGCCGCGUGAAUGAUGAAGGUCUUAGGAUUGUAAAAUUCUUUCACCGAGGACGAUAAUGACGGUACUCGGAGAAGAAGCCCCGGCUAACUUCGUGCCAGCAGCCGCGGUAAUACGAAGGGGGCUAGCGUUGCUCGGAAUUACUGGGCGUAAAGGGAGCGUAGGCGGAUAGUUUAGUCAGAGGUGAAAGCCCAGGGCUCAACCUUGGAAUUGCCUUUGAUACUGGCUAUCUUGAGUACGGAAGAGGUAUGUGGAACUCCGAGUGUAGAGGUGAAAUUCGUAGAUAUUCGGAAGAACACCAGUGGCGAAGGCGACAUACUGGUCCGUUACUGACGCUGAGGCUCGAAAGCGUGGGGAGCAAACAGGAUUAGAUACCCUGGUAGUCCACGCUGUAAACGAUGAGUGCUAGUUGUCGGCAUGCAUGCAUGUCGGUGACGCAGCUACGCAUAAGACACUCCGCCGUCGGGGUAGGUACGGUCGGCGAGAAUUAAACUACAAUAGUAAGUUAGUACGGCGUGAGACGUGACCGACGGACGACGACGAGGGAGGUUAGGG